AGGGAAUCUUCCACAAUGGACGCAAGUCUGAUGGAGCAACGCCGCGUGAGUGAAGAAGGUUUUCGGACCGUAAAGCUCUGUUGUUGGUGAAGAAGGAUAGAGGUAGUAACUGGCCUUUAUUUGACGGUAAUCAACCAGAAAGUCACGGCUAACUACGUGCCAGCAGCCGCGGUAAUACGUAGGUGGCAAGCGUUGUCCGGAUUUAUUGGGCGUAAAGCGAGCGCAGGCGGAAGAAUAAGUCUGAUGUGAAAGCCCUCGGCUUAACCGAGGAAUUGCAUCGGAAACUGUUUUCUUGAGUGCAGAAGAGGAGAGUAGAACUCCAUGUGUAGCGGUGGAAUGCGUAGAUAUAUGGAAGAAUACCAGUGGCGAAGGCGGCUCUCUGGUCUGCAACUGACGCUGAGGCUCGAAAGCAUGGUAGCGAACAGGAUUAGAUACCCUGGUAGUCCAUGCCGUAAACGAUGAGUGCUAAGUGUUGGGAGGCUUCCGCCUCUCAGUGCUGCAGCUAACGCAUUAAGCACUCCGCCUGGGGGAGUACGACCGCAAGGUUGAAAC
rnacentral:rRNA from 1 species